rnacentral:lncRNA from 1 species
GUGCUAUCUUCUAUUCCUCUCCCAAAGGUUUUAUUUUGAAAAAUUUCAAACCUAUAGAAAAGUUGCAAGUGUAAUUGAAUGAACAUACAUAUGUGCUUGUGGUAGAUUGCACAAAUGACCACAGUUCUUCCUCCUUUGUAUCCAUGCCCUUUACAAUACGACAUUGCAACUUCUCCCUUCACACUGUGGAGGCACCCACCCUUUGACUCUGUGCUGGCCUUGUGAUUGGCUUUGACUAAUGCAAUGCAGCGCAGGUGAGGUUGUGCUAGUUCUGCGGUUAGGCCUCAAAAAACCUCGCAUGCUUCCUCUCUUCUUUUGUGUCUGACUUGAGACUUUGCCACUGCCAUGUGAAUAAGUGAGGACUAGCCUGCUGGAGGAAAAGAGACAGGGUCUUAGUCACUGCAGCCAACGACCAGCCAAUCCUCAGAAGCAGAGCCACCUAACUGACCAGCUGUUGAUCACAGAUCCAUAAGGGAACUCAGCGGAGAUCACAGCAACCAGCCAGGACCCAAGUUAAAGGAACAACAUGGGGCUUCAUGAUGGAAGGUGGAAGCUCUAAGAGUUAUGGCCCAGUCACACAAGCACACUUCAAGCUUCAGCUCAUGUCACAUUCACUUACAUUCCAUUGGCUGAAGCACCAUGGCCAGGCCCAACAUUAGAGCACUGGAGAAGGGGAAGACUGGGGUGAGUAUACUCCAUCUGUAUCAGUAAGUACUGCUGCAUAACAAACAACCCCAAAACUCAGUGUCUUAAAACAAUAAUAAUUUAUUAUUUCUCACAAGUCUAUGAGUUGCUUGGGGUGUCUUGGCUUAUCUGGGCUGGUCUCAUGCAUCUGUUGUCUGGUUCAUCCAGGGUCACCUCAGCUGGGACAAUACAGCUCUGUUUCAUGUGGCGUCUCACUUCCCAGCAGGCUAGCUUGAACUUGUUCUCAAAUUGGUGGCAGGGUCUAAGAGAGAAUGGAAGCUUGCAAGGCUCUUGAGCCUUCGCUCAGAAUGUAUACAGUGUUACUUCUGCUGCAUUCUGCUGUCUGAAGUGUUACAAGAUCUGUCCAUGGUCCAGAUUCAAAGUGUGAGCAAAUACACUCCACCGCCUAAUGGGAAGACUUGUAAAGGCACAUCACAGAGGGCGUAGACAAACUUUGUUUGGUUUCAGCUCAGCUUUCCUAUAACAGAGAUGCCACAUAAGGAAAAAAACCUAUACUGGCUUGUCUAUCUUAGGGUCCUAAUGGCUUUGGACAGCACACAGAAAGUCAUCACCAGAUGAUAGAUUUUGCCCGCUCAAGUCCUUAGCCAGGCUCAUACUGAGACCUUGAGGAAGUUGUUCACUAGCUCCUUAUGACAGCUGAGAAAGGUGAUACACAAUACUUUGUCUAAUUUGUCUCUCCAUAUUUUCAGUGUUCAUCAUUCAAUUAACUGAAGUAGGAAACUGCAUGAUCAGACAAACUGUUACUACAAUAAGUUUUGGUAAUGAAUAAAAUUAUGUAAAGACGGUGUGAGUUUUAUUCUCAUUUCUUCUGGUUUUUUUUUCUCCUG